GACGAACGCUGGCGGCGUGCUUAACACAUGCAAGUCGAACGGAAAGGCCCUGCUUUUGUGGGGUGCUCGAGUGGCGAACGGGUGAGUAACACGUGAGUAACCUGCCCUUGACUUUGGGAUAACUUCAGGAAACUGGGGCUAAUACCGGAUAGGAGCUCCUGCUGCAUGGUGGGGGUUGGAAAGUUUCGGCGGUUGGGGAUGGACUCGCGGCUUAUCAGCUUGUUGGUGGGGUAGUGGCUUACCAAGGCUUUGACGGGUAGCCGGCCUGAGAGGGUGACCGGCCACAUUGGGACUGAGAUACGGCCCAGACUCCUACGGGAGGCAGCAGUGGGGAAUAUUGCACAAUGGGCGGAAGCCUGAUGAAGAAACGCCGCGUGCGGGAUGACGGCCUUCGGGUUGUAAACCGCUUUCGCCUGUGACGAAGCGUGAGUGACGGUAAUGGGUAAAGAAGCACCGGCUAACUACGUGC
rnacentral:rRNA from 1 species